rnacentral:lncRNA from 1 species
UCCCUCAUUCAUUCAUUUAUUCCUUCCUUUCAUCCAUUUAUUCCCUCAUUUAUUCCUUCUUUCCUUCCAUUCACUCAUUUAUUCCCUCAUUUAUUCCUUCUUUCCUUCCUUUCAUCCAUUUAUUCCUUCAUUCAUUCAUUUAUUCCUUCCUUUCACCCAUUUAUUCCCUCAUUUAUUCCUUCCUUCCUUCCAUUCCCUCAUUUAUUCCCUCAUUUAUUCCUUCUUCCCUUCCUUUCAUCCAUUUAUUCCCUCAUUUAUUCCUUCCUUCUUUCCUCUAUCCAUUUAUUUCCUCAUUUAUUCCCUCAUUUAUUCCUUCCUUCCUUCCUUCCAUUCAUUAUUUCCAUCCAUCCAUUCAUUCCUUCAAUCCUCCAUUCAUUCACUCGGUUCCUUCACUCCGUUCAUUCAUGCACUCCAUUCAUUCACUCACUCCACUCACUCAUUCAUUCAUUCAUUCACUCACUCACUCACUCAUUCAUUCAUUCACUCAUUCACUCACUCAUUCAUUCAUUCCAUUCAUUCAUUCCUUCCCUUCCCCCGUUCCCAUUCCCGUCCCAGUCUCUUCCAUUUUUUAUUUCACCCCAACGCUUCGUUAAUUAAUUUCUUUUAAUAAUUCCAGCUGAUUAUUCCUUUCAACCCUUGUCGUCGUUUCCUUCGAUUCUUUUAUUUCAACGGUGCCUUUUAAUUAUUUUUAUUCCCUUCGAUACUCGUUAUUUUUUUAAUUAAUUCCGAUUGUUCCCUUUUGUUUUCAUUAUUUCCUUUGAUUUUGUGUUAUUUUAAUUAAUUCCAGUCAUUCCUUUUAAUUUCUAUUUUUCAUUAUUUCCUUUGAUUUUGUGUUAUUUUAAUUAAUUCCAGUCA